rnacentral:tRNA from 1 species
AGGAUAAUAGUUAAAUAUAACAUUUAAUUUGCACUUAAAAAGUAUUGAUCCCAUCAAUUUAUCUU